CGUCGGGGCUUUGUCUUGACUGGGCGCGUGGGGCUCUUUAGACUCAUGCACCCUUAAAUUUGGCAGGGCAAUCGGCUCUGCCAUCUUUAUUUGUGUUGUAAAUAGCGUCGAAAGACAACAGUGGAGCUAGUAGA
rnacentral:sRNA from 1 species